UGCUUGCACCUUCGGCGUCGAGCGGCGGACGGGUGAGUAAUGCCUGGGAAUUUGCCCAGUUGUGGGGGAUAACAGUUGGAAACGACUGCUAAUACCGCAUAAACCCUACGGGGAAAAGGGGAGGCUCUUCGGACUUCUCGCAAUUGGAUAAGCCCAGGUGGGAUUAGCUAGAUGGUGAGGUAAAGGCUCACCAUGGCGACGAUCCCUAGCUGUUCUGAGAGGAUGAUCAGCCACACUGGGACUGAGACACGGCCCAGACUCCUACGGGAGGCAGCAGUGGGGAAUAUUGCACAAUGGGGGAAACCCUGAUGCAGCCAUGCCGCGUGUGUGAAGAAGGCCCUAGGGUUGUAAAGCACUUUCAGUCAGGAGGAAAGGUUAGUAGUUAAUACCUGCUAGCUGUGACGUUACUGACAGAAGAAGGACCGGCUAACUCCGUGCCAGCAGCCGCGGUAAUACGGAGGGUCCGAGCGUUAAUCGGAAUUACUGGGCGUAAAGCGUGCGCAGGCGGUUUGCUAAGUCAGAUGUGAAAGCCCCGGGCUUAACCUGGGAAUAGCAUUUGAAACUGGCAAACUAGAGUCUUGUAGAGGGGGGUAGAAUUUCAGGUGUAGCGGUGAAAUGCGUAGAGAUCUGAAGGAAUACCGGUGGCGAAGGCGGCCCCCUGGACAAAGACUGACGCUCAGGCACGAAAGCGUGGGGAGCAAACAGGAUUAGAUACCCUG
rnacentral:rRNA from 1 species